rnacentral:rRNA from 1 species
AUACGGAGGGUGCAAGCGUUAAUCGGAAUUACUGGGCGUAAAGCGUACGUAGGCGGUUCGUUAAGUUAGAUGUGAAAGCCCCGGGCUUAACCUGGGAACUGCAUUUAAAACUGGCGAACUAGAGUUGAGUAGAGGGGAGUGGAAUUUCAGGUGUAGCGGUGAAAUGCGUAGAGAUCUGAAGGAACACCAGUGGCGAAGGCGGCUCCCUGGACUCAAACUGACGCUGAGGUACGAAAGCGUGGGUAGCAAACGGGAUUAGAAACCCUUGUAGUCC